AUUUAUUUAAUAUAAAAAGUAUAUUUGAUUUCCAAUCAAAAAGUCUAAUUACAUUUAGAAUAAAUA
rnacentral:tRNA from 1 species